UACGUAGGGACCGAGCGUUGUCCGGAAUCAUUGGGCGUAAAGCGCGUGUAGGCGGCUUGGUAGGUUUCGUGUUAAAUCCCUCGGCUCAACCGAGGAAUCGCACGGAAAACCACCUCGCUAGAGUCCGGAAGAGGGAAACGGAAUUCCAGGUGUAGCGGUGAAAUGCGCAGAUAUCUGGAAGAACACCCGUGGCGAAGGCGGCUCACUGGCCCGGUACUGACGCUGAGGUGCGAAAGCGUGGGGAGCAAACAGG
rnacentral:rRNA from 1 species